UACGAAGGGGGCUAGCGUUGCUCGGAAUCACGGGGCGUAAAGCGCACGUAGGCGGCUUGUUAAGUCAGGGGUGAAAUCCUGGAGCUCAACUCCAGAACUGCCUUUGAUACUGGCGAGCUUGAGUUCGGGAGAGGUGAGUGGAAUUGCGAGUGUAGAGGUGAAAUUCGUAGAUAUUCGCAAGAACACCAGUGGCGAAGGCGGCUCACUGGCCCGAUACUGACGCUGAGGUGCGAAAGCGUGGGGAGCAAACAGG
rnacentral:rRNA from 1 species